UCUGGACUGUAACAAGAAAAAACGAGUGCGUCACAAUUCUCCUUACAGAUAUAUGCGGUUUGAUAUGUUAUAAUAGGCUGUGUGUUCUUUUUCAGGUUUCAGGUUGAAAUUCAGCAUGCUAGGAAGAAAAGGUCAGAGGCAGUGGACCUGAAUUUACCUGUCAAGCUGGUGGCGUCCUCGUAUCGGCCCUGUUUGAAGAGCUUGUUCCCUUGACCGUGGAGCACAGGUACCGCUUUCAAUCUCUCUUCAUCAUUCAGAGCCCAGGACUCUCUGUCAUACUCACUGGGCUGCUGUACCUAAAAC